AUCAAGAUGUAGAACUCUUAACUACCUCUCUAGCACCAUGUCUGCCUGCACAUUGCCAUGUCCCACCAUGAUGAUAAUGGACUGAACUUCUGAACUGUAAGCAACCACAAUGAAAUGUUUUCUUUUAUAAGAAUUGCCUUGGCCAUGGUAUCUCUUCACAGCAACAGAAACCCCAACUAAGAAACCAGAUAAAAUGGAACUGUGAGCCAUAGAGUACCAUUAUCAUGGGUUUUCAUCAUGCUCUCUGAGGCAGACACGAUGAAGCUCCGACCCAGGAUGGAUACAGGCUAGAAUCUUCCCGGUGAUGGAUUAUGUGGCUCUGCUCUCCCCCUUUCCCCCACCAUGAUGCACCACUCCUGGCCCCAAGAAAAGAAGCUUUAUGGAACAGAGGAAGCAGAAGAAGUGAAAAAGAGGAAGGGCAUUCUAUCUGAGGACACAGCGGAUGCAUUUCUAUAUUUGCACAGAUGUCGUAAGGAGAAACACUGAAUUCCUACCGAUUUAUAAGCUACUGGGAAGUAUGUGGUAUUCUCAGUUGAAACUUUAUGCAGUGUUCCUGUUCUAUGCUAUGUGCUCUUGACAAUUUAUUCACAAGUCCACUGUGUGAAGU